rnacentral:misc_RNA from 1 species
AGCUUCUUACCAUCAACAGCUGGUAACAGUAAUACAAUAAUUUCCUCUUACCAGUCACUACAUUUGACAUGUUUCUCUAGGGAUCAUUACAGACCAAUAAAGAAAAGUGCUCCACUGAUCAGUCACACGUCUUCAUCAUUCCACAUUCCAAAUUUUUCAGCAAGGAUGUCAAAUAGAAUUAUUGACAGGCAAUGUGACUGGUCAUGUCCUUUUCACGAGGUAUCCCAAAAUGAUGCCAAUCAAACCAAUAAGAAGAACAUACAUAUAUGGGAUACCACCACGACUUCUGCUGGAUUGAUGCCUCAACAGCUCCUGCAUAAAAUUGUGCAGGCAUUCAGUUUUAAAAUGGGCUGCCAAUUUUUUUUUUCAAUGGGAAUUGUAUUGGAAUUUUCUUUUUUCAACUAUACAUUUUAGUGAAUUUAUUUGGGUGUGAGUAAAAAUACUGCUGAUGAACUGGUAAGAACAAAUUUAUCAUAGCUGCUAUUUUUUGUUUUGGUACAAUUGGCUUCAAUUAGGACUCAAACUUAACACCUCAUAACCCUAGAGACGACUCCAGUACCACUGAGUUAAAGCUCAUUCGUUCGUAGCAGUUAUCUUUUAAUAACUUUACCAUAUUUGAAAGAAAUACACAACAAAUUAAUGCAGUAGAUACAAUAAUAUAUUAAAACAGCCACAUUACUGUUAGUGAUCUCUCUUCCCACAUGCUGAAUUAAAAGCACAUGUUAAUAUCACACAAACAGCCAUUUGUCACCUAAGCACUGUGUUAGUCAAACUUAUGAAGCUUUUUUCUCUACAAGACUCUACCUAAAUAUCUAUUUAACGAAUAAUAACUCAUGCAAUCAAAAGAAGUAAAAGCCAUUCAUGGGUUUCUUAAUUGGUGCAAAACAACUGUAAAACUUUUCUUUAGCAUUUGCUAAAUCAUGUUUACUAUUGUCUUCCACCGACUGAGUUGCAAGGUGUUCAUUUGGAGAGGUUAAAUUUCUGUAGCUUUUUCCAUACCACAUGUUCAUUCCAGUAACAAAAGAUCAGUUCUUGUUGAAGCCUG